AACUAACUCAAAUAUCAGCGCGAUAAAAACAUAAACACACAAGACACUUUAAAACUCAUCAUAACAAAAAAUACAAAACAACAUUAUUAAAGGAACGUCUUUGCUCGGCUAAUAGCACACAAAACGUGCAAUGAAAAAAGCCGAUGUUCUUACUCGGAUUUCCAUGAGGACAAGGGUGGAGUAUCAGAGUUCUUGUAACUGUGAGCUGCAAGCGAUUCAGGCUGUCUAGAACCCUUGAAUGAAGCCAUAGAUUCAAGCUCAGCCAUGUCUUGAGGUGUGAGUUUAACCGCAAGGGCUCCAAGGUUCUGGGUCAGAUUUGUGAUCUUGGUUGUACCAGGGAUUGGACCUACAUCAUCCCCUUGGUGCAGGACCCAAGCCAAUGCCAACUGUGCCGGGGUGCACCCCUUUUUUUGUGCCAUUUCAUUCACACGCUCAAAUACAACUUUAUUGUGAUCAAAGUUCUCUCCUUGCAGCCUUGUGCGAACCUUUCUAAAGUCAUUAUCGGCCAGAUUUUCCACCACCUUUGGA
rnacentral:lncRNA from 1 species